GGAAUCUUCCGCAAUGGACGAAAGUCUGACGGAGCAACGCCGCGUGAGUGAUGAAGGUUUUCGGAUCGUAAAACUCUGUUGUUAGGGAAGAACAAGUACCGUUCAAAUAGGGCGGUACCUUGACGGUACCUAACCAGAAAGCCACGGCUAACUACGUGCCAGCAGCCGCGGUGACACGUAGGCACCAAGCGUUGUCCGGAUUUAUUGGGCGUAAAGAGCUCGUAGGCGGUUCAGUAAGUCGGGUGUGAAAACUCUGGGCUCAACCCAGAGACGCCACCCGAUACUGCUGUGACUUGAGUACGGUAGGGGAGCGGGGAAUUCCUGGUGUAGCGGUGAAAUGCGCAGAUAUCAGGAGGAACACCAGUGGCGAAGGCGCCGCUCUGGGCCGAAACUGACGCUGAGGAGCGAAAGCGUGGGGAGCAAA
rnacentral:rRNA from 1 species